rnacentral:lncRNA from 1 species
CACCAAGAUAGAAGUUUUUUGCCCUCACAUGUAAAUCUCAGCCGUAGGCAAUUUUCAAGACUCUAUUCCAGUCUUCAGGGAACCAGGUUCCUUCCAGCUUACUUCACUUCCUGGGCAGGUACUGGUGUGUACAGCAUGGGCCAGUUCUGCUCCAGUCUUAGGGUGUCACUCCCCAUUUUUCUUGGGCUCCACAUUUGCUUCUCAACUGUACAGUGGUAUAUUGAGUGCCAUGGAGAGUGUGGGUUAGGCUCAGAGAGUUAAUCUGCCCAAGGUUACAUGGCUGAAAUUCAAAGGCUUUCUGGUGCCAAGACCCACAUACAGUGGGGAUGGCUAGAGGGCUCUAAACAUCAGGGCAGACAUGAAAGUGAAAUACGAAGUUAUUCUGUAACUAUUUCCUGCCUAUAUUAGCAAUUACUAUCUGCACCACUCAUCAUUUAACUAAAACCUGCAUUCUAUUAAUACCCUUUUGUGGGUAGAUACUUAGACACCAGACACUUCAUCAUUUAAAAGUGAAACCAACCCACGCUGGUGAUGUAUUUCACAAAGAAUAUCAGAUCAAUUGCAGGAAAUAAUGAACUUAUAUUUUCUUUGAACAUCUUGCAUGGAAUAGGUGAAUCUGUGACUACAUUACACGCAGCUUACACUUUCACCAGUCAUCCACAUAAGAAACAUACCUGUUGAAAGAAUUCAAACCUGGCCGGGCGCGGUGGCUCAUGCCUGUAAUCCCAGCACUUUGGGAGGCCGAGGCGGGUGGAUCACGACGUCAGGAGAUCGAGACCAUCCUGGCUAACAUGGUGAAACCCCGUCUCUACUAAAAAUACAAAAAAUUAGCCGGGCGUAGUGGCGGUCGCCUGUGGUCCCAGCUACUCAGGAGGCUGAGGCAGCAGAAUGGCGUGAACCCAGGAGGCGGAGCUUGCAGUGAGCCGAGAUCACGCCAUUGGACUCCAGCCUGGGCGACGGAGCAAAAAAAAAAAAAAAAAAAAAAAAGAAUUCAAACCUGACCACCUGCCUUCCAGCCAGGAAAGGGACUGUAAAUAUUAGGAUAUGAAAGAAAGGCAAAGAGCUGUUGUGGCUACAACUCACAGAAAUGAGGUGGAGACUGUCUUCUCUACCCUCCAGACUAAUCCACCAAUACUAGACUUCAACACUAAGGAGUCACAGUCCGUAUCAUUCACUUUUCCAAGUGUUUCUCCUUCAGUUACCUAUCACUGAUGGCCUUAAGCCUAGACAUCUCCUCAGGUGAUUUCAACUUGGCCUUUAUGUUGACUUUAUGCCUAUCUUUUCCUUCACUCUCCUGGUUACUUGUUACCCUGAUUUGCGUCAUGUUUCCUUGGUUUUCUUUACUCUUCUGACUUCUGCUGCCAACUCACACAGUCACCAUAGGAUACACCUAUCAUUUCAAUAUUCAAAGGCACUGCUUCACCUCUGGUUUUUCCUCUAUAGCACUCUCCUUCAAUAUCCAUGCCUGACCCUUCUCACUUACACACAAUCCGAUCCAGUUUUACACCAAUGCUAAGGUUUUUAGUCUCUUACCACCUAUGUUUUGUUUAGAUCAUUCUUACUUCAUAGGCUGUGUCACUAGUUUGAACUAUUGAGUCAGCACCAUUCUAUGGUUUCUGUAACAUUGCUUGCAUCUUAAAAAUGGCAUUCUCCAGAGAAUUUUUUUUAAGAGGUAGGAUUUCCUUCUUUAAAUGCACAAAAUAGCUGGGCAUGGUGGCUCACGCCUGUAAUCCCAGCACUUUGGGAGGCCGAGGCAGGCAGAUCACGAGGUCAGAUCGAGACCAUCCUGGCCAACAUGGUGAAACCCUGUCUCUACUAAAAAUACAAAAAUUAGCUGGGCAUGGCAGCGCAU